GCCCAAAACAAACGCGUACGCGCCAGCCCUCCACCAGAUAGCAGCGCCCCCAGAAAAAGCCAGAUAGCAGCGCCGCCCCCAAAUCGACGCCCAAAUCCUUCGUCCGCUCCACCAGAUCGCCGCCACCGCCGCCGCCGCUGCCCCCCACCAGACCACCGCCGCCGCCGCCCUCAGCCAUCCCCACCGCCGUCGCCGCCCCCAGCCAUCCCACCGCCGCCGACCUCCCUCCAUCCCGACAGUACCGCCGUCGCCCUGCAUGCCGAGCCGUGCCGCAGUCGCCCUCCAUGCCGAGCCGUGCUGCCGUCGCCCUCCACCGCUCCAGAGCGGCGCCGCCGAGCACCCAAGUGACCGCAGCCGCCAAUCACUCCAGGUCGGGGCCGUCGGCCGCCCUCCACCCAGACCAUUGCCGUCGUCGGCAACGGAAAGCGCAAGAGGAAGCAGUGCCUUCCCAAGGGUCCACCAUGGCAUCGUGCUCCUCUUCUCCGCGGCCGUUCACGCUGGCGAGCAUGGGGGGCUCCCGACCACGCCCUCCUCCCCGAUGGCGGCGAGCACGGUGCCUCUCCACUUAGAUCCGUGCCGGUGGAAACCCGAUGCAGUUGUAAGUACGAAGCCAGAUUUCCCCUCCCUCCUACAUCCCCCAUCCACCGAGUUAGUAAUUCUUCCGUAUUGCAGUUUUUUUCUUUUGCUGCCAAAUUGAUGGAGGUGCUAUUAGUGAAAGGAUUGGAGACUGGUUCUAGCAGUGGUAGAUUUUUCGAGAAUUUCCUAGUGCUCGUGAUUUGCAAAGGGUUUCAGCCAAGUUAGUGUACGUGUACCCUCCUAUGAUUAGUAAAAUUUCGUGUGUCUGUAUCCACCCUUUUUAGGUACAUGGACCCAUCUUUUUUUAUUCAGGUUCAGACAUUGCACAACUGAAGACAUUUGUUAUAUAGCUCGAGAAAGUUUACUCACUAUGGCUAACUGUUAUUCCAGGAUAAUAUGCAAUGUUAAGUGCAAUUAUUUUCCUCAUGCUACCACAAUUUUUGCCAACAUUAAUUUUUCAGCUGCUUGAUAGAAUCAUGGAAGGAACAUACAGUGCAGUACGAGACGAGGGAUGGUCUGAUGAUGUUGUCGAGAUGAGUAUGGUGCUCAUACUGUUAUCAUUUUGUAUUCAGAAUCUUUGAUGUUAAAUGGUGGGGUGUUAAAUGUAGCCCUCGAUAAAAAAUGGAGAUUAUACUACCAUAGUUAGCUCCACUGUAGAAAGUAACAUAACCAGCCUGAAGUAUGUGUAUAUCUAUUACUCUUUAAUAGUACAUAAGCUUUUGAACCUAGGAAGUCAUUGCCUCAGAGUUAUGCCUGCUUAGAUUAAUGGUUGCUAUGCUAACAAGAUACAGUGAAAAUUAACUUUGUUUCGAAUACAGUGAGUAUAUGACCUUAUAAUUGUUUAUGAUUAGAAUUAGCAAGGUCCCUUUACCCUCUUAAUGUGUUUACACUUCCUCUAAUGAAAUAAUAUGAUGUCUAUGAACCUUAACAAUCGUCAUCUCAGCUAAACAUAAAAGGAAGAAGGCCCACCAGAUUUGUUCGUAGUGCACAUUGUUUUUUCUACAAAAUAUUGGAGUAUCUGGAUCACAAAUCUGACCUGUAAAAAUGUUCAAACUUAUUGAUAUUUUAUUCUUGAAAUUUUAAAGACAAUGAAUGCAAUUUUUUAACUUAACCUGGCUUCCUGUUUUUUGUCCUGUGAAUAAAAACAAAGCUUCACUACAAGCCGAUUUUCUGGUGAAUGAAUUAAACUCAAGGUCUCUAGCAAAGGAAUCAAGUUUUUCACCUUUUGUUGGAACUUGUGAUUUUGAACAUCAUUUUAUUUAUUGCCAAGGAUCACCGUGACACCUAUGGUUGUAUGCUCUUCUCAUAUCUUUAUUAUUUUCAAGAUUACUAUAUAGUACACGAGCUACCCUGUUUCAUUGGUUCAGUUUAUCGUCAUUCAUGUUAGGAUUUUCUCUUGGCUUCCUGGUUCUUCUUUUCUUUGGCGAACUUGAACAACUCUAUUAAUGUGUCAAAACAUAAAGUCUUCCUGUACAAGGCUACAUAUGUGUAAUCAGGUAUGCUAUAUAUCACCUUUCAUUCUUUUCCAAACGUUCUGCUGUAUGACUUCUUUUAAGAACAAAUUAUUCAACUCAGUGGACCUUGAAUAGUUGAAUGUCUGAUAUAACUUCACAAUGACCUUUCUUACUCUGGUUAUAUUUUUCCAUUUGUACCACAGUAAGGCACCUCACUUUCUGAUUUCUGAGUCAAAUGCUUUACCUGAUGUCGGGUUCUCUCUUCAGACAUACAUGAAACAGUUCUUCACAAGAUCAUGAUUGUAUACAUAUAAAAAAAAUCUUCUUCUCAUAUCUUAUUUGGCCCCUCUACAGAGUAUGUAAAAAGUUGUCGGUGGUCCGCCACGCCUCUGCCUGCUAGUACUGGUAAAUUCUUACUAGGCAACUAGAUGUGCUUAAUUUGUGUGUCUUGUCUAGUUCUUCCACUCUAACAAGGCCAUACAUAACGUUGUUGUAAGAUGAAAGUCCGGACAUUAUUUAGCUUUUAAACUUACAGUAUACUGCUCCUACAGUGUUGUGAGAUUGAAGGUCCAAGAUACUACACUUCAAUACAGAUCUUUAUCAUUAUUUGAGAAGUAAACUUUUAAUUGGCAGUAGAGUUGUAUGUAGUAAACUCUGGAAUUUCUUGAUUAAUUUUCUGUAUCUAUGACUGCAAUGGUUACAGAUUGAUCUUUACUUGCAAUCUAAUUUGCAUGUUUGUGUGUGUUCUUCAGGAAUCAUGAUACUACUUUGUGAUCUGAUUGGUGAAAGGGUAUUUUGUACGGUUCUCUCAUAUCCGACUUGUCUUUUUCUCUCUAUAUAAAGUAGCAUUGAAAAUGUUCUUUUAUUUCCUCUGACCUCUCAGAAGCUCACACCUGAAUAUCAUGAUAUAUGCCUUUAAGAAAACUCUGUAUGUUCUUUUGAGUUAAACCGAACACCAAACAUUUUAGUUUCUAUACUUCUGUCAGUUAAUGCUGGAAAAAUGCUUGAAUUUUUGUUGUUGUACUAGUUGCCUUUGUGUGCUCAUACAAAAAUACUAGAUCCUAUGAUGUCAAAAAUUCAUACAGGUUGUGGAUGACCCUUCUUUUUUCUCGAACGUUGUUCCUAUUGUCUUAUGUGCAGUUUUUUCAAACAGAGUUUGAUGAGUCUUCACUAUCAGGAAACUAAACUUAAUAUUAGAGGCAAUCACACCAUGCCAUUACGGGUUUAAUUAUUUGUCCAGACCUGAAACUGUUGUCAUGCUUUCCAGGAAGGGCAACUAGAUGUGCUUAGUUCAUGUGCCCGGGCUUGAAACCGCGGACAUUUUUUAGCUUUUUAUUAAAUAGAAUAUUCACUCGAUGCCUUGAAGGGAAAUUUGUUGAGAAAAAUGUUGGGCGGUGCAUCUUUGUAGAUUUUGAGUAUCGUAAUAAAUGUAAUGGAUAUAAUGUUUUCUAAUACAUGACUUGUGAUUUGAUGUCUUCCUGUCCAGGUUGAAAAUGUUCCUGUAAGAUUUGUUAAGACGCCUUGCCGUAACCAUAUGCUCUGAGCUCACACAGAAGAACUUACAGGCUUUACUCUUUGUGUUUGUUACAUCUUGUACUGUCGGAUGUCUAGAGACUAAAGAUGCUAAAUUAUGAGGGAAGUCUUCAUGUGUAAUCAAUGAAUUGAAAACAUUGUAAAAUGUUUGAUGAUCAGAAUUUAUAAUAUAUAUGCGAUGUGCAUCUGCAUAA